rnacentral:miRNA from 1 species
UUUCACCUCUAUGUGAUUGUAUUUCACCUCUAUGUGAUUAUUUUUCACACAUAUGUGAAUAGUUUUCACAUAUGCGUGAAAUACAAUCACAUAGAGGUGAAAUACAAUCACAUAGAGGUGAAA